AUCUUAUUGCCGACUUAUUAUGCGAGAACUGUGUAGUUUACAGCCAAAAUAAAUUCACCUUCACGAAAGCGACCACGCUAUAGGCAGGGCACUAAAGAAUCCUGUAGCAGCGACAGAAACCUUACGGUGCCACCGCGGAGCCUACCCAUCAACACGGCCGUCACCACCAGCUGGCCGGUUUAUUAUCACUCAACUCGGAGAGAGAUAACGGACGGGCCUGCAGCAGCAGUACCCAGCCGGUGGCACCUGCCCUGCACCGAGCGCCGAGCGGACGGAAAACAACGGCUGAUAAUAUUGCAGCGCGCACCCCAUCUGACGGCCGCGCCGGCCCUGCAGCUGCACUGCAGCCGCGCUCAGAGAGGGCGCGUCAGCCGACGGUGUAGCGUAGCGGGCGCCGUGGCCGCGGCCGUGCUCCGCGCCGUGCUCUAUUUUGAGUGGCGACUGCGCGCGCGCCUGCGCCGGCCGCGGCGGCGAUCGACCGACGCUCACACGACCGUGAGCCGGGCAGCGCGGAGCAGUCGUCCACCGCGCACCGUCCACCGCAAUGCUGGGAGUGACCGCCCGCCUCACCGGCCUGCCGGCCGCCGGCAGCCGGGUGUUAUCCGGAGCCCUGUCGGGCCGGCUGGCCGACCGGCCCGGGCGCCGCUCCGUACAGGAGUCGGCCCCCGACAAACCCUGUCCCAACAUGGUGCGAGGCAUCGACAACGUUCGAGAGACGCGGCUCAACAAGGGCAUGGCCUUUACGCUGGAGGAGCGCCAGCGGCUGGGCAUCCACGGCCUGCUGCCGCCCCGCUUCAAGACACAGGACGAACAGGUCGACCUGUGCCUGAAGAACAUCUCCCGCUACCAGGAGGACCUCAACAAGUUCAUCUACCUGAUGGGCCUGCAGGACCGGAAUGAGCGGCUGUUCUACCGGGUUCUCUCGGAGAACGUGGAGCAGAUGAUGCCGCUCGUAUACACGCCUACCGUCGGGCUGGCCUGCCAGAAGUUCGGCCUCAUCUACCGGCGGCCGCGAGGGCUCUUCAUCACCAUCCAUGACAAGGGACACAUCUACGACGUCAUGCGCAACUGGCCGGAGCAGGACGUCCGUGCCAUCGUGGUGACGGACGGAGAGCGUAUCCUCGGCCUGGGAGACCUGGGUGCCCAGGGUAUGGGCAUCCCGGUGGGCAAGCUCUCGCUGUACACUGCAUUGGCCGGCAUCAAACCGCAGCAGUGCUUGCCCAUCGUACUCGACGUCGGCACCAACAACAAGGAUCUGCUGAAUGACGAGUUCUACAUCGGCCUGAAGCAGAACCGAGUGACGGGCGAGGCCUACGACGAGUUUGUCGACGAAUUCAUGCAGGCCGCCGUCAGACGGUACGGCCAGAAGACGCUGAUUCAGUUCGAGGACUUCGGCAACCACAACGCGUUCCGCUUCCUGGACAAGUACCGCAACAAGUACUGCACGUUCAACGACGACAUCCAGGGCACGGCGUCGGUGGCGGUGGCCGGCCUGCUCGCUGCCAUGCGGAAGCUGAACACCAAGCUGUCCGAUCACACAUUCCUGUUCUUGGGAGCCGGAGAGGCGUCGCUCGGUAUCGCCAACCUGUGCGUGAUGGCGAUGGAGCAGGAGGGCCUCAGCUCGCAGGCCGCCCACGACAAAAUCUUCAUGGUGGACUCCCGCGGUCUGAUCGUCAAGAACCGGCCCGAGGGAGGCGUCACCGGACACAAGGUCGAUUACGCCAAGGACAUGGAGCCCAUGAAGAACCUCGGAGAUGUCGUCAAGAAGCUGAAGCCCUCGGCGUUGAUCGGUGCGGCCGCCCAGCCGCAGGCCUUCACCGCCGAGAUCCUGAAGGACAUGGGCGAGUACAACAAGGAGCCCAUCAUCUUCGCGCUGAGCAACCCGACCAGUAUGGCCGAGUGCACAGCCGAGCAGGCCUACCAGGCCACUCAGGGUCGGGCCGUGUUCGCGUCGGGCUCUCCGUUCGCCCCGGUGACCAUCAACGGCAAGACGCUGUACCCUGGCCAGGGUAACAACGCCUACAUCUUCCCGGGCGUGGCGCUCGGCGUCAUCGCCUCGGGCAUGCACCACAUCGGCGAGGACGUCUUCCUGCGAGCGGCUGAGGCGCUAGCGAAGAUGGUGACGGACCAGGAGCUGGACGUCGGCCGGCUGUACCCGCCCCUGGAGAACAUUCGGGAUGUGUCACUACAGAUCGCCGUACAGCUGGCGGAGCACGCCUACAAGACGGGCGAGGCGUCCACCUACCCCCAGCCGGCCGAUCUGAACGCCUUUGUGCGCAGUCAGCUGUACGACUAUCACUACGCUAACCCGUUAGAGCAGGUCUACCCGUGGCCGACAAGUGUCUGAGCUGGCGACGGCGCAGCGAGGGGAGGCGUCCGUGUACCCGCAUCCGGAUGACCUGCUCGCCUAUAUCGAGACGCACCGGUACGACUUCUCGUACGAGAGUCCGCUGCUGAACACGUACGAGUGGCCUAGCAGCGGCAUGGUCCAUUGAGGGAGGGGAGGGGGACUACUGUCGGCCGUAUCAGGGGGCCGUGCCGGCACAGGACGCGCCUGGCGGCCAGGGCGUCCUGUGGCUAGGGGCUUUCUUAGAUGCCGGUAGCCAUGGGCGUUCUACGGCGCCGGCAGUUAGGGGCGCCCUCAGGUGUCGGUGACAAGGGGCGUCCUCUGGUGUCGGUGGCUAAGGGCGCCCUCUUGUGCCGCUGGGUAAGGGCACCCUGUAGUGCCGGUGACCAGGGGCGCCCUCAGGAGGCCGGCAGAGACUCUGUACUGCCGUGAUUGGUGUUGUGUUCUGAACGGCGGAGUUGAGCGUUUCUGCCACGCCGCGUGGCAGCUGUCGAUGCGAAUAGGUCAUGGUCACAGUCAGUGAAUGGACGUUGUUGGUUACCCGUGUCAAGGUGGUCACUCAUAUAAUAGGGUCAGCACGGUAAAUGGCAUUUGAAGAGUCGAAGCGAAAUACAGCUAGAAACCAAAA
rnacentral:misc_RNA from 1 species